GCUGGUGUAGCUCAGGGGCAGAGCGGCGCACUCGUAAUGCGCAGGUCGUGGGUUCAAAUCCCACCACCAGCUCCA
rnacentral:tRNA from 1 species